AACGAACGCUGGCGGCAGGCCUAACACAUGCAAGUCGAGCGAGGACUUCGGUCCUAGCGGCGGACGGGUGAGUAACGCGUGGGAACGUGCCCUUUGCUUCGGAAUAGCCCUGGGAAACUGGGAGUAAUACCGGAUGAGCCCUUUGGGGGAAAGAUUUAUCGGCGAAGGACCGGCCCGCGUUGGAUUAGGUAGUUGGUGGGGUAAUGGCCUACCAAGCCGACGAUCCAUAGCUGGUUUGAGAGGAUGAUCAGCCACACUGGGACUGAGACACGGCCCAGACUCCUACGGGAGGCAGCAGUGGGGAAUCUUAGACAAUGGGGGAAACCCUGAUCUAGCCAUGCCGCGUGAGCGAUGAAGGCCUUAGGGUUGUAAAGCUCUUUCAGCUGGGAAGAUAAUGACGGUACCAGCAGAAGAAGCCCCGGCUAACUCCGU
rnacentral:rRNA from 1 species